AUUUUGGACAAUGGGGUAAACCCUGAUCCAGACAUCCCGCGUGUAUGAUGAAGGCCUUAGGGUUGUAAAAUACUUUUGGCAGAGAAGAAAAGGUAUCCCCAACUACGGGAUACAGCUGACGGUAUCCGCAGAAUAAGCUCCGGCUAACUACGUGCCAGCAGCCGCGGUAAUACGUAGGGUGCAAACGUUAACCAGAAUUACUGGGCGUAAAGCGUGUGUAGGCGGUUCGCAAAGAAAGAUGUGAAAUCCCAGGGCUCAACCUUGGAACUGCAUUUUUAACUGCCGAGCUAGAGUAUGUCAGAGGGGGGUAGAAUUCCACGUGUAGCAGUGAAAUGCGUAGAUAUGUAGAGGAAUACCGAUGGCGAAGGCAGCCCCCUGGGAUAAUACUGACGCUCAGACACGAAAGCGUGGGGAGCAAACAGG
rnacentral:rRNA from 1 species